rnacentral:rRNA from 1 species
AUUGAACGCUGGCGGCAGGCUUAACACAUGCAAGUCGAGCGAGCGGCGGACGGGUGAGUAAUGUCUGGGAAACUGCCUGAUGGCGGGGGAUAACUACUGGAAACGGUAGCUAAUACCGCAUACCAUCAGAUGUGCCCAGAUGGGAUUACCUAGUGGGUGGGGUAAUGGCUCACCUAGGCGACGAUCCCUAGCUGGUCUGAGAGGAUGACGAGCCACACUGGAACGGGGAAACGGUCCAGCCUCCUACGGGAGGAAGCAGUGGGGAAUAUUGGACAAUGGGCGAAAGCCUGAUGCAGCCAUGCCGCGUGUGUGAAGAAGGCCUUCGGGUUGUAAAGCACGUUCAGCGGGGAGGCGUUACUCGCAGAAGAAGCACCGGCUAACUCCGUGCCAGCCGCCGCGGUAAUUC